rnacentral:rRNA from 1 species
AUGAGCAGCAGCGCCGGCAUGGAGUGCUCGGGAAGAGGUGACGGCGGCGGCGGCAUGGUGGCGCCGCCGUUCGUUGCCAAGACGUACACGAUGGUGGACGACCCAGCGACCAACGCCGUGGUCGCCUGGGGGGCGGCCAGCAACAGCUUCGUCGUCGCGGACCCCUUCGCCUUCUCGGAGAUGCUGCUGCCCGCGCACUUCAAGCACUCCAACUUCUCCAGCUUCGUCCGCCAGCUCAACACCUACGGCUUCCGCAAGGUCGACCCGGACCGCUGGGAGUUCGCGCACGCCUGCUUCCUCCGCGGCCAGACCCACCUCCUGCCCCGCAUCGUCCGCCGCCGGAGCAUGCGUCCUUCCAAGGACGACAACGAGGAGGAUGAAGACAGCAGCAGCACCAUGUUAGCCAUGGAGGUUGUCCGGCUGAAGGAGGAUCAGAGGGCCACCGAGGACCGCUUGGCGGCGAUGUGGCGCCGGGUGCAGGACGCCGAGCGCCGGCCCAAGCUCAUGCUCGCCUUCCUCCUCAAGACGACGCGGCAAACUACUUUGUGA